GACGAACGCUGGCGGCGUGCCUAAUACAUGCAAGUCGAACGCUGAUUUUUUAACUGAUGCUUGCAUCGACCAAAAAAUCGGAGUGGCGAACGGGUGAGUAACACGUGAGUAAUCUGCCCUGGACUUCGGGAUAGCUUCGGGAAACCGAGAUUAAUACCGGAUAUGACAUUGUCUCGCAUGGGAUGGUGUGGAAAGUUUUUUCGGUUCAGGAUGUGCUCGCGGCCUAUCAGCUUGAUGGUGGGGUAAUGGCCUACCAUGGCUUUGACGGGUAGCCGGCCUGAGAGGGUGACCGGUCACACUGGGACUGAGACACGGCCCAGACUCCUACGGGAGGCAGCAGUGGGGAAUAUUGGACAAUGGGCGGAAGCCUGAUCCAGCAACGCCGCGUGAGGGAUGACGGCCUUCGGGUUGUAAACCUCUUUCAUCUAUGACGAAGGCUCUGCUUUUUGGUGGGGUUGACGGUAAUGGGAGAAGAAGCACCGGCCAACUACGUGCCAGCAGCCGCCGUAAUAAUAC
rnacentral:rRNA from 1 species